AGAGCAGUGACACUCCUGGACAGGAUCUUCAGGCUGGAGAAGGGCACGGCGAGGACGGCAGGGGACCCUGAGCAGGGCAGGCAGGGCCUGGACGUGCCCAACGGGAGCAUCGCGGCCCACGGGGAACCGCUGCGUGAGGAGAUAGAUGAGUGCAGGCAGAAGGAGCUUGGGCAGGACUCUGCAGGUGAACAAGACCUGGCUGCACCUGGCAGGGCACAGGCAGAGCAGCACAGUCCCCAGGCAGCUGCAGGACAGGGCUCAGUCAUGAGCUUCCUCAAAACUCUGGUCUCCCCAAGCAAAGCUGACGCCAAAAGUGAUUCUGAAGACAAGGGCUCCAAGGCGGAGAAGGGCGCUGGGGGACAGCCCGGCCCGAAGGCAGCACCAGGAUCCCCCUCCAAAGGAGCCAAGAAAAAGAAGGCAGAGAGCCCCAAGCUGGGCCACGGCACCUUUAGCAAACUCUUUAGGCACAAGGCUGCGAAAGAAACCCAGCAGACAGCCAACACCAAAGUGAGUAGGAGGGGUUGAAUUAUCUGUGCAAUGCAGGAAAAGGGGAAUUCUCGCUGGCAUGUUCAGUCUUUAAGUGUUGUAAUUUCUUUAUCUGUGUUCUGGCUUUGCUGUGUGUGUGACGGUGUUCACAGGGGUUUUCAGGUGAGGGAAGAGAUGAGAAUGUUGACUCCAUGUUCAGAAGACUUGACGUAUUAUUUUAUUAUAUAGAUUACAUCAAAACUAUACUAAAAAGAAUAGAAGGAGAAGUUUCAUCUCAGAAGGCUGGCUAAGAAUAGAAUAGAAAGGAAUGAAUAAAGGCUUGUGUCUCAGACA
rnacentral:lncRNA from 1 species